rnacentral:pre_miRNA from 1 species
UUAACUCAUAUUUGUAUGGAAUGGGAUCGUUUUCCUACGUUUGCCGCUAGGGGCGCUGUUCCAACUGCAUAAAAAAUUGCGUUA